AACAGCCGCGGUAAUUCCAGCUCCAAUAGCGUAUAUUAAAGUUGUUGCAGUUAAAAAGCUCGUGGUUGAAUUUCGGGAUCAAUUCGUCGGUCGUGCUUUUUGGUACGUACUGGCGUUAUUGGUCUCUCCCUUCUGACGAGCCUUGAUGUCAUUAAUUUGGUGUUAUGGGGAGUUAGGACUGUUACUUUGAAAAAAUUAGAGUGUUUAAAGCAGGCAUUAGCUUGAAUAACAUUAGCAUGGAAUAAUGAAAUAGGACGUUCGAUCCUAUUUUGUUGGUUUCUAGGAUCAACGUAAUGAUUAAUAGGGAUAGUUGGGGGCAUUAGUAUUCAAUUGUCAGAGGUGAAAUUCUUGGAUUUAUUGAAGACUAACUACUGCGAAAGCAUUUGCCAAGGAUGUUUUCAUUAAUCAAGAACGAAAGUUAGGGGAUCGAAGACGAUCAGAUACCGUCGUAGUCUUAACCAUAAACUAUGCCGGCUAGGGAUCGGAUGAUGUUAAUUUUUUAAUGACUCA
rnacentral:rRNA from 1 species